AUGAACGCUGGCGGCGUGCCUAAUACAUGCAAGUCGAGCGAACAGACGAGGAGCUUGCUCCUCUGACGUUAGCGGCGGACGGGUGAGUAACACGUGGAUAACCUACCUAUAAGACUGGGAUAACUUCGGGAAACCGGAGCUAAUACCGGAUAAUAUAUUGAACCGCAUGGUUCAAUAGUGAAAGACGGUUUUGCUGUCACUUAUAGAUGGAUCCGCGCCGCAUUAGCUAGUUGGUAAGGUAACGGCUUACCAAGGCAACGAUGCGUAGCCGACCUGAGAGGGUGAUCGGCCACACUGGAACUGAGACACGGUCCAGACUCCUACGGGAGGCAGCAGUAGGGAAUCUUCCGCAAUGGGCGAAAGCUUGACGGAGCAACGCCGCGUGAGUGAUGAAGGUCUUCGGAUCGUAAAACUCUGUUAUUAGGGAAGAACAAAUGUGUAAGUAACUAUGCACGUCUUGACGGUACCUAAUCAGAAAGCCACGGCUAACUACG
rnacentral:rRNA from 1 species